AUUGAACGCUGGCGGCAUGCUUUACACAUGCAAGUCGAACGGUAACAGGCCUUCGGGUGCUGACGAGUGGCGAACGGGUGAGUAAUGCAUCGGAACGUGCCCAGAGGUGGGGGAUAACGCAGCGAAAGCUGUGCUAAUACCGCAUGUGAUCUGAGGAUGAAAGCGGGGGACCAGGCAGCAAUGUUUGGCCUCGCGCCUUUGGAGCGGCCGAUGUCAGAUUAGGUAGUUGGUGGGGUAAAGGCCUACCAAGCCGACGAUCUGUGGCUGGUCUGAGAGGACGAACAGCCACACUGGGACUGAGACACGGCCCAGACUCCUACGGGAGGCAGCAGUGGGGAAUUUUGGACAAUGGGCGCAAGCCUGAUCCAGCAAUGCCGCGUGCGGGAAGAAGGCCUUCGGGUUGUAAACCGCUUUUGUACGGAACGAAAAGGCUCUGGCUAAUACCUGGGGCUGAUGACGGUACCGUAAGAAUAAGCACCGGCUAACUACGUG
rnacentral:rRNA from 1 species